rnacentral:pre_miRNA from 1 species
CCAUUUGAAAAUUAGUCGUAUAUGUUCCUAAAUUUUGACGGGAUUGUGGAUCCGACCAGGUAUGACACAUUGUGGUGAGAAGUACCUCUAUCUUCAUUUUUCAUGUAGAUCAUCAAGUGAAGGUAUAGUUACUAUAUCGUACCAUUGUGCUUCAUACUUGUCAGAUCCACAAUCCCAUCAAGACUUUGGAGCACAUAUGACAGGUUCUCAGAAUGG